rnacentral:rRNA from 1 species
GACAGAGGGGGCAAACGUUGUUCGGAAUUACUGGGCGUAAAGCGUGCGCAGGCGGUUCGUUAUGUCCGAUGUGAAAGCCCCGAGCUCAACUUGGGAAUGGCAUUGGAAACUGGCGGGCUGGAGUGUGGCAGAGGGGGGUGGAAUUCCACGUGUAGCAGUGAAAUGCGUAGAGAUGUGGAGGAACACCGAUGGCGAAGGCAGCCCCCUGGGCCAACACUGACGCUCAGGCACGAAAGCGUGGGGAGCAAACAGG